ACUCCUACGGGAGGCAGCAGUGGGGAAUAUUGCACAAUGGGCGCAAGCCUGAUGCAGCCAUGCCGCGUGUGUGAAGAAGGCCUUCGGGUUGUAAAGCACUUUCAGUCGUGAGGAAGGUGGUAGUGUUAAUAGCACUAUCAUUUGACGUUAGCGACAGAAGAAGCACCGGCUAACUCCGUGCCAGCAGCCGCGGUAAUAC
rnacentral:rRNA from 1 species